AAGACCUUACUUUAUAGGAUCAUUUCUCUAGUAAGUUCUUCACGAGAAGUACUAUGGUUUAAACAGAAAAUACCGUACUCUAUAAUAACACCAUAUCUAUGACUUAUAUCGUGCCCGAUAUUUGAAGAAAGCUCGUUUUUUUCAUAUAAACGAGCGAGUGGCCACCUGA
rnacentral:snoRNA from 1 species